UACAGAGGUCUCAAGCGUUGUUCGGAUUCAUUGGGCGUAAAGGGUGCGUAGGUGGCGCUGUAAGUCGGGUGUGAAAUUUCGGAGCUUAACUCCGAAACUGCAUUCGAUACUGCGGUGCUUGAGGACUGGAGAGGAGACUGGAAUUCAUGGUGUAGCAGUGGAAUGCGUAGAGAUCAUGAGGAAGACCAGUGGCGAAGGCGGGUCUGCUGGACAGUUCCUGACACUGAGGCACGAAGGCCAGGGGAGCAAACGGG
rnacentral:rRNA from 1 species